rnacentral:rRNA from 1 species
AUGUGCCUGGUUGUGUGCACGCAUUGCAGUUGCAGGGGACCAAAGGAUUCAACGGAGAACCUUGAAGAGCUUAUCGACCUUGUUUCCUUUGACGACGCUUCCAGCAGCCUUCGUGAAGCUUGGAAGCAGUGGCUCAUGGCAUGGACUGCAAAUUGGAGCCAUAGAUCCAUUGACAGGGAUACAGCACUGCUGUUGGUUCGCACAAUCGAAAUCUGCUCGGGAAGGCAUGCCUCCGCCGAGCAGAAACUGAACCUUUGGGAGUACUCCCAGCUCGAGCAGCUCACCUCUUCCAUCUGCCGCAAGCUUGCCGCAAAAGUUCAUGCUCAGAAAGGAGGAGGUGUGGGUACAGAGGACUUGGACCGGCAAGUGGAUUUCGAGAUGCGAGAGCUAUCUUGGCGUGUUCAUCAGAGUGGCCAUGACAUCAACAGAGACCAGGCAGACAUUUCUUCACGUUGUGAAAAGCUUCUAUUACUCGGCUCAUUGCUCACCUGA